GUGUUGAAAUUGUCUUGUAGGUGGGUAAAUUUCAAAUUCCAAUUCCGUUGUUUGGGGGGCAAAUUCGUAUUUUAAUUGUGUUGUUGGUGGGUCUUUUCUUCGUAAGAGCCCAAAAAUGAGGUAUAAAUUUGUUUUAAAAUGACAUUUUAUGCGUACUUUGCGCGAUCGAAAACGGCAUUUUGGUACGAAAUAAACGAGUCCGAAUGCUAUUCUCACGACGCGGCUAUUCUUACGGUAACACCAUGGAGGCUAUGAGUGUUUCAGACGUGCGCCAGUUUUUGAUGGAGCGUAACCUAAGCUCGCUAACCACGACCUUUGAAGCUCUGACACUUACAUGUAGAAGAAAAUUAGUCUGACAGAAAAUCUGAUUGAUGGCGAAGCAUUGCUUUCUGUGAUGGAAGAUCACAUUUUGUUGAAGGAAUUAAUACCUGAAGUGGGGUUGAGAGCAAAACUGAGGCGUAAAAUAAAAAAGAAGACUUGAGAGUUUUACUGAAUGACAUGAACAAAUACUAAUUUCAAUUGUGUUGUAGGGUGGUGUUGAGUUUAAUCUAAAUGUGGUGCUGGUGGGUCUAUUACCUAUUUUAAUUCUGUUGGUGGGGGGUGUAAAAGCAGUUAAAAUUGUGUUGGUGGUGCCCCAUUUUUGGACUGUCGUUCUUGCCCCCCCAGGCCUUUUUUCCUGGAACAGCCCUGAUCAGAAACAGUGUUUAAAACUGUUUUUGAAAUUUAAGCCUGCUCUCAGUUCCAAAUCAAACGUCAGCACAUAAAAGGCUGAGACACAAUUUUAAAACGUCAUUUGCGACAUGAUGAACGUGUGCAUACAAACUGGAGCGUUUUUCUAAAUAAAGUGUAAUCAAAUGACUUUUAAUUCCAAUUUAAAGCAUAUAAUACAAAGAAAAAUUGUUUGUUUCAGUCUAAGAUAGCAAUAUAUUUCAAAUUGUGAAUACCAAACGUGAAUAUUUCACUCAUGACAACGUCACUCAUGAAAUAUAUAUUUUGGUGCUCACUCGGUGAAAUAUAUUGGGAUUUUAAACUAAAACAAACAAGUAUCCUCCAUGUGUCUGCCAUGCUUCCAGGUGACAUUAUAAAGCCAACUACUGCUUUUACUGUGAUUGACUUGUCCAAAAAUCUAAAACAUACAAAUAUUUAAAUCAAACAACUUCUCAGUC